GGGGACGUGGUGGAAUUGGUAGACACGCAGGCUUGAGGGGCCUGUCCUCAUUAUGAGGGUGGAGGUUCAAAUCCUCUCGUCCCCACCA
rnacentral:tRNA from 1 species